GGUCAUGAGACCCUUCUGGUGACCAACUUCUGACUCCAUCAUGAGAUGGUCACCAGAAGUCCUAAUUUACUCAUCAUAAGUCCAUCGUGUUUGGGCUCAAUCGAUUUGCCUCGACGAGCACCAUCUAUCUAGAUGAGGUCCAGGGUCAUGAGACCCUUCUGGUGACCAACUCCUGACUCCAUCAUGAGAUGGUCACCAGAUGUUCUAAUCUACUCAUAAUAACUCCAUCGUGUUUGGGCUCAAUAGAUUUGCCCCGACGAGCACCAUCGAUCUAGAUGAAGUCCAGGUUCUCAUGAUGGAGUCAGGAGUUGGUCACCAGAACUCCUAAUCUACUCAUUAUCACUCCAUCGUGUUUGGGCUCAAUCGAUUUGCCUCGACGAGCACCAUCUAUCUAGAUGAGGUCCAGGGUCAUGAGACCCUUCUGGUGACCAGCUCCUGACUCCAUCAUGAGAUGGUCACCAGAUGUUCUAAUCUACUCAUCAUAACUCCAUCGUGUUUGGGCUCAAUAGAUUUGCCCCGACGAGCACCAUCGAUCUAGAUGAAGUCCAGGUUCUCAUGAUGGAGUCAGGAGUUGGUCACCAGAAAUCCUAAUCUACUCAUUAUCACUCUAUCGUGAUUGGGCU